CAGUGACCCGAUUUAACGGCCGCAGUACCCUAACCGCGCAAAGGUAGCAUAAUCACUUGUCCCUUAAAUAUGGACCAGUAUCAACGGCAUCACGAGGGUUCCACUGUCUCCUUUCUCUAAUCAGUGAAACUGAUCUCCCCGUGAAGAAGCGGGGAUAAACCCAUAAGACGAGAAGACCCCAUGGAGCUUCAAACCAGCUUUACCCCCCCCCCACCCUUUUUAUACCCUCUUAUCUGCGGAACACUACAUGCUCGGUUUUAGGUUGGGGCGACCACGGAGCAUAAAAAAACCUCCAUGAUGCAUGAGCCUACCCUCUUACCUAAGAAACACACUUCUAGGAAUUAGCACACUAACAUACUAUGAUCCAGUAACUGAUCAACGAACUAAGUUACCCUGGGGAUAACAGCGCAAUCCAUUUCAAGAGCUCCUAUCGACAAAUGGGUUUACAACCUCGAUGUUGGAUCAGGGUAUCCUAGUGGUGCAACAGCUACUUAAGGUUCGUUUGUUCAACGAUUAAAACCCUACAUGAUCUGAGUUCAAACC
rnacentral:rRNA from 1 species